AAGAGUUCCAGAGACCUCCUUCUUUAGCAUGCUUAGAGCUAUUGCAUGUGUUUCCCUGAAGUGCUGCUUGCUGUGAUGUAUGUGGCUUUUCCUGUGUUGACUUACUUUUGAAUGUGCUAAAUGGUCCUGGUAUGACCCGACAUUUGAGAACGACUGGUCUGUUUUGUUCCCAUUUAGAAGAUGUCUCUGCAAGGAACUCAGAGGCCAUGAGUUCCCUCACUGAGAAGUUUCAGAGGCUGUAACGUGGAAUCCAGCAUCUUCUACCGCACAGGCAGCUGCUACAUUGGAGCCCAGGAUGUGUGGCCCAGCUACUGCCCUCCAGUUUCU